AUUAAACAGGGCAGGGGUGGGGCUGCCUGACUGGCCAAGCCCUGGCCUUGGGUUCUGGCUGACUUCUGCUCAGAGCGCCACCGGCCCUACACAGCCCACGGUACCCAGAGCCUGAACACUUUCCGGCCAUCUGCAACAUAAGCACUUAGGAACCAACCUGUGAGCCUACAGGCUUUUCCAGGGGUGCCAGGAGCACCAAGGAGCUGAAAUGAUGGGACCAGGAAAGGAGAACACUGCAGAGUCCAAAGAUCCUGCUGAGUGACUUCCAAGGAAUAUCAUAUCCAAGGUACUACGGAACGCACGAUCUCCAAUGCUCAUGUCCACUCAGAACUCCAGCAAGCUUGGUAUGGUGGUAGCUUUCAGGCCCAGAACUUUGCUAUUCAAUAUGCAGACCUUCUAAAACUCAGUUCCUCAGUGGUAUGUCCAUACUACAAGUGCUGGAUCGCCAAUGUGUGGUCACAGGGCAUUUCCAUUAUCAAAGAAACUUACACCAGGCCACCCAGAUUUAGAAAGACGCUUUCAGAAAGAGAAACAUCUCAGGUCCUGGAAAGACCUGGUAUAGAGGAUGAUCUCCCAGGCCAGCCUACCCUCUCCACUCUGUUCUCUCCCCGCAGAUCCAUGCUGCGGAGGAAGAGACCACGUCACCAGGAUGAGAACGAGACUGGCCCCACCCUCGUUCCUUCUACAGUGUACCACUUCCUAAUAUAGACUGCAUCUUCGCACGCCCGGAAUGGAUAAAAAUGGAUAGCUAUCAUUUGAGGAUCAGCAAAACUAAAAGGACUUCCCAACUCACUGCGAAACUUUGUUAAGAACCUGGAAGAAGGGCUGGGGACAUGGCUCAGUGCAGAGCACCUGCCUAGCAUGUGGCAGGCCCUGGGUUCCAACUCCAGCACCACCAAAACCAAAACCAAAAGAACCUCUGGAGAGGAUUCUGGAAUAAGAUGCUGAUCUUCUGCAGAACCCUAUGAAGCAGAUUAUAACAAAGAAAAGGAUGUCCUCUUAAGACAGGCCUGAGGACUGGCCUAUAAAAGCAGGCCACAGACUGCACCGGGACCAAUCUGAUUAUCCAGACAGAUUCCUGCACAACCUGCACUAACGCCAUGACACUCAGGUGGCCCUUCAGCUGCUCAGGGCAGAGUGUUCUGCUCUGGAGCUAUUGGAACACACCUCUUAUCUCUUCAGCUGGAGUCCCUGGAGGCAGAAGGCUACUGGUCUCUCUGCGGGCACUGCCUGUGCCUGGAUCCCAGGAGGGGCUUCACUGGCGGCUCCUGAAUGGAGGGAGCAUGCUCUGAGGCCCCAGGAAACACACACAGAGCCACUCACCUCACAGACCUGUUUUUCUGGGCAUCUGCAAAUUGAGCUGUCAGGGCAUUUUUUCCAACUGAACAACACCAGGUAUUAUUUAUUUCAAAGGAAGCUCACAUUUAUAAAUAAAUAAAAUUGGAUCUUAAUAUGCUAGUCUUCCUUUGUUAAAUUAUUUAUGGUCACAUCUGAGUGAAGAUAAGUUACACAGACCUAUUGAAGUAUCUCAUUUUAGUGAAGACUAUGUAUUUCAAUAUAAAAGAAAAAUGACUAGGGCUGGGGUUGUGGCUCAGAGGUA
rnacentral:lncRNA from 1 species